rnacentral:rRNA from 1 species
UACGGGGGGGGCAAGCGUUGUUCGGAAUUACUGGGCGUAAAGGGUGCGUAGGCGGUUCGUUAAGUUGGAUGUGAAAACUCUGGGCUCAACCCAGAGCCUGCAUCCAAAACUGGCGGGCUAGAGUUCUGGAGGGGGUAGCGGAAUUCCUGGUGUAGCGGUGAAAUGCGUAGAUAUCGGGAGGAACACCGGUGGCGAAGGCGGCGACCUGGGUGGAUACUGACGCUGAGGUGCGAAAGCGUGGGGAGCAAACAGG